GACAUGUAUAAGUCUCCCUAGUUAUGAAGUGUGGGUUCUGUUUUAUCAGCGUCCUCCUCAUUUAUUUGAAGGUACUUCUCACCAAUUUUAUGUUCCAUGUGUAACUUUGAGACUAGGGAUUACACCUUCUACACUGUGGGUGAAGUGAGGAACGGUGGUGAAUUUUGAGCUGGAGAGAGAUAAGACUCCUUGCUCAAUGUUCCAGAAGCUUGAGCUUGAAUUCAUUUCCUCUGAUAAUGCUAGUCAGGACCUGAUCUUGUGAUUUUUUGCCUGGGAGAAAGCAGUGGUGAGCACGUGCUUUCCAUAGGCCCAGGGAUCAUUCCAUAUUUCCUGAUGUAGAACCCAGUGUGCCCCUCCCCGGCCCCAGAGCUGAUUGGAUGAGGUCUCAUUGU